GGUCGGUGCGGCGGCACCAGUACAGCACCGCGUCCAGACCGCCGGCCGCCACCAGCCGCUGGCACGUCUCCUCCGAGUGCUUGAACAUGUGCUCCAAAAUGCCGGCCACGCUCCGCGCCAGCUCCACCGGCUCCCGCUCUUUUGCCAGGGCUCAAGAUCCUUCGUCUGCACUUUGUGUGUCCAGAACAAUCUGACUAUAUAUACUCCAAGAAGAUCAGAACCAGGAAGUGCUUAAGAAGUCAUCUAAUCCAACAACACCCCGCCUGAGGCUCAGUGAAGGGAAGGGCAUGUUCAGGAACAUCAAUUCAGAAAGAGGACUUUAUUCACAUUUCUUUUUUUUUUUUUUUUUUUUGGCCGCGAGGCUUGCAGGAUCUCAGUUUCCCGACCAGGGAUCAAACCCAGGCCAUGGCGGUGAAAGCCCGGAAUCCUAACCACUAGGCCACCAGGGAACUGUGCAAUUGUGCAUUUCUUGAACCCCAGCCCUCACCUUUCCCUAUACACUUGGCACCUUUAUAGAGUUGAACUCUGUGCUAGUUGUGACAUUUAUUCACUCAAUUCUACAGUCUGAGAGGCUGUGGGUCUGGGAUCAAAUCACAGCUCCGAAAGAGGGGUAAAUUGUCCAUAUAUAAGCCUGUAUAUGUAAUAUACACAUAUAUGCACGUGCUUGUUAUAUGCAGAGACUCUCUCUUGGAAAGAUGUACAAGAAACUUGUUUCACCGGUUUGCCUCCAGUGAACAGAAAGAAGAACGUUUAACCUCCUCUCGGAGCAGUGCAGAGGUGUGGGGAGAUCAUGCCUUUCUCUGGAAGGAUUUUGAUCGGGACCUGGCUCGCUGGGUUCUGUCCUUGGUCCUGAAGUGAUGCCAACACCAGCACGUUGUUUCUUGGGACCAGAGACACCGGUUAGUGCGCCUCCU